rnacentral:snRNA from 1 species
GUGCUCACUUCGGCAGCACAUAUACUAAAAUUGGAAUGAUACAGAGAAGAUUAGCAUGGCCCCUGUGUAAGGAUGACACCCAAAUUCGUGAAGAAAUCCCAAGCCAG